GAUGAACGCUGGCGGCGUGCCUAAUACAUGCGAGUCGAGCGAACAGACGAGGAGCUUGCUCCUCUGACGUUAGCGGCGGACGGGUGAGUAACACGUGGAUAACCUACCUAUAAGACUGGGAUAACUUCGGGAAACCGGAGCUAAUACCGGAUAAUAUAUUGAACCGCAUGGUUCAAUAGUGAAAGACGGUUUUGCUGUCACUUAUAGAUGGAUCCGCGCCGCAUUAGCUAGUUGGUAAGGUAACGGCUUACCAAGGCAACGAUGCGUAGCCGACCUGAGAGGGUGAUCGGCCACACUGGAACUGAGACACGGUCCAGACUCCUACGGGAGGCAGCAGUAGGGAAUCUUCCGCAAUUGGCGAAAGCCUGACGGAGCAACGCCGCGUGAGUGAUGAAGGUCUUCGGAUCGUAAAACUCUGUUAUUAGGGAAGAACAAAUGUGUAAGUAACUAUGCACGUCUUGACGGUACCUAAUCAGAAAGCCACGGCUAACUACGUG
rnacentral:rRNA from 1 species